AAGUCGUAACAAGGUUUCCGUAGGUGAACCUGCGGAAGGAUCAUUACCUAGAGUUUGUAGACUUCGGUCUGCUACCUCUUACCCAUGUCUUUUGAGUACCUUCGUUUCCUCGGCGGGUCCGCCCGCCGAUUGGACAACAUUCAAACCCUUUGCAGUUGCAAUCAGCGUCUGAAAAACAUAAUAGUUACAACUUUCAACAACGGAUCUCUUGGUUCUGGCAUCGAUGAAGAACGCAGCGAAAUGCGAUAAGUAGUGUGAAUUGCAGAAUUCAGUGAAUCAUCGAAUCUUUGAACGCACAUUGCGCCCCUUGGUAUUCCAUGGGGCAUGCCUGUUCGAGCGUCAUUUGUACCUUCAAGCUCUGCUUGGUGUUGGGUGUUUGUCUCGCCUCUGCGUGUAGACUCGCCUUAAAACAAUUGGCAGCCGGCGUAUUGAUUUCGGAGCGCAGUACAUCUCGCGCUUUGCACUCAUAACGACGACGUCCAAAAGUACAUUUUUACACUCUUGACCUCGGAUCAGGUAGGGAUACCCGCUGAACUUAA
rnacentral:rRNA from 1 species